UACAGAGGUCCCAAGCGUUGUUCGGAUUCACUGGGCGUAAAGGGUGCGUAGGUGGCGGGGUCAGUCUGAUGUGAAAUCUCCGGGCUUAACCCGGAAAUGGCGUUGGAAACUACCUUGCUUGAGGGUUGGAGGGGGGACUGGAAUACUUGGUGUAGCAGUGAAAUGCGUAGAUAUCAAGUGGAACACCAGUGGCGAAGGCGAGUCCCUGGACAACUCCUGACACUGAGGCACGAAAGCUAGGGGAGCAAACGGG
rnacentral:rRNA from 1 species